GCCCGGCUAGCUCAAUCGGUAGAGCGUGAGACUCUUACUCGUCAAGAACCUGUCGAGGACCUCACGAUUCUGACAGGGACAGUGCAUCUCAAGGUUGUGGGUUCGACCCCCACGUCGGGCU